AUUGAACGCUGGCGGCAUGCUUUACACAUGCAAGUCGAACGGUAACAGGCCGUAAGGUGCUGACGAGUGGCGAACGGGUGAGUAAUGCAUCGGAACGUGCCCAGUCGUGGGGGAUAACUACUCGAAAGAGUAGCUAAUAACGCAUACGAUCUUUGGAUGAAAGCGGGGGACCGUAAGGCCUCGCGCGAUUGGAGCGGCCGAUGUCAGAUUAGGUAGUUGGUGGGGUAAAGGCUCACCAAGCCAACGAUCUGUAGCUGGUCUGAGGGGACGACCAGCCACACUGGGACUGAGACACGGCCCAGACUCCUACGGGAGGCAGCAGUGGGGAAUUUUGGACAAUGGGCGCAAGCCUGAUCCAGCAAUGCCGCGUGCAGGAAGAAGGCCUUCGGGUUGUAAACUGCUUUUGUACGGAACGAAACGGCUCUGGUUAAUACCCGGGGCUAAUGACGGUACCGUAAGAAUAAGCACCGGCUAACUACGUG
rnacentral:rRNA from 1 species